UACGGAGGGUGCAAACGUUGCUCGGAAUCAUUGGGCGUAAAGCGCACGUAGGCGGUCUACUAAGUCGGGAGUGAAAGCCCUCGGCUCAACCGAGGAAGUGCUUUCGAAACUGGUAGACUUGAAUACUGGAGAGGAUCGCGGAAUUCCCGGUGUAGAGGUGAAAUUCGUAGAUAUCGGGAGGAACACCAGUGGCGAAGGCGGCGAUCUGGACAGAUAUUGACGCUGAGGUGCGAAAGCGUGGGGAGCAAACAGG
rnacentral:rRNA from 1 species